GACGAACGCUGGCGGCGCGCCUAACACAUGCAAGUCGAACGAGCGAGCGAGAGCUUGCUUUCUCGAGCGAGUGGCGAACGGGUGAGUAACGCGUGAGGAACCUGCCUCAAAGAGGGGGACAACAGUUGGAAACGACUGCUAAUACCGCAUAAGCCCACGACCCGGCAUCGGGUAGAGGGAAAAGGAGCAAUCCGCUUUGAGAUGGCCUCGCGUCCGAUUAGCUAGUUGGUGAGGUAACGGCCCACCAAGGCGACGAUCGGUAGCCGGACUGAGAGGUUGAACGGCCACAGUGGGACUGAGACACGGCCCAGACUCCUACGGGAGGCAGCAGUGGGGAAUAUUGCACAAUGGGGGAAACCCUGAUGCAGCGACGCCGCGUGGAGGAAGAAGGUCUUCGGAUUGUAAACUCCUGUUGUUGAGGAAGAUAAUGACGGUACUCAACAAGGAAGAGACGGCUAACUACGUG
rnacentral:rRNA from 1 species